rnacentral:siRNA from 1 species
AUGAGUGUAUAAUAGUCGUGA